CGCGUAGGCGGCCUGCUAAGUCGAACGUGAAAUCCCCGGGCUCAACCCGGGAACUGCGUCCGAUACUGGCAGGCUUGAAUCCGGGAGAGGGAUGUGGAAUUCCAGGUGUAGCGGUGAAAUGCGUAGAUAUCUGGAGGAACACCGGUGGCGAAGGCGGCAUCCUGGACCGGCAUUGACGCUGAGGCGCGAAAGCCAGGGAGCAAACG
rnacentral:rRNA from 1 species